rnacentral:rRNA from 1 species
UCGGGAAUUUUGGGCAAUGGGGGAAACCCUGACCCAGCAACGCCGCGUGAAGGAUGAAGUAUUUCGGUAUGUAAACUUCGAAAGAAUAGGAAGAAUAAAUGACGGUACUAUUUAUAAGGUCCGGCUAACUACGUGCCAGCAGCCGCGGUAAUACGUAGGGACCAAGCGUUGUUCGGAUUUACUGGGCGUAAAGGGCGCGUAGGCGGCAAUUCAAGUCAUCUGUGAAAUCUCUGGGCUUAACCCAGAACGGCCAAGUGAUACUGUCGCGCUAGAGUGCAGAAGGGGCAAUCGGAAUUCUUGGUGUAGCGGUGAAAUGCGUAGAUAUCAAGAGGAACACCUGAGGUGAAGACGGGUUGCUGGGCUGACACUGACGCUGAGGCGCGAAAGCCAGGGGAGCAAACGGGAUUAGAUACCCCCGUAGUCCCUGAGCGGGCUGGCAAGGCGCAU